GUGAGGUGAUGGCUCACCAAGGCGACGACGGGUAGCCGGCCUGAGAGGGCGACCGGCCACACUGGGACUGAGACACGGCCCAGACUCCUACGGGAGGCAGCAGUGGGGAAUAUUGCACAAUGGGCGAAAGCCUGACGCAGCGACGCCGCGUGGGGGAUGAAGGCCCUCGGGUCGUAAACCCCUUUCGCCAGGGACGAAGGGAAACUGACGGUACCUGGAGAAGAAGUCCCGGCUAACUACGUGCCAGCAGCCGCGGUAACACGUAGGGGACGAGCGUUGUCCGGAAUUAUUGGGCGUAAAGAGCUUGUAGGCGGUUUGUCGCGUCUGCCGUGAAAAUCCGGGGCUCAACCCCGGACUUGCGGUGGGUACGGGCAGACUAGAGUGUGGUAGGGGAGACUGGAAUUCCUGGUGUAGCGGUGAAAUGCGCAGAUAUCAGGAGGAACACCGAUGGCGAAGGCAGGUCUCUGGGCCACUACUGACGCUGAGAAGCGAAAGCAUGGGGAGCGAACAGGAUUAGAUACCCUGGUAGUCCAUGCCGUAAACGUUGGGAACUAGGUGUGGGUCUCAUUCCACGAGGUCCGUGCCGCAGCUAACGCAUUAAGUU
rnacentral:rRNA from 1 species